rnacentral:rRNA from 1 species
GAUGAACGCUGGCGGCGUGCCUAAUACAUGCAAGUCGAGCAAAUGGAUUAAGAGCUUGCUCUUAUGAAGUUAGCGGCGGACGGGUGAGUAACACGUGGGUAACCUGCCCAUAAGACUGGGAUAACUCCGGGAAACCGGGGCUAAUACCGGAUAACAUUUUGAACCGCAUGGUUCGAAAUUGAAAGGCGGCUUCGGCUUUCACUUAUGGAUGGACCCGGGUCGCAUUAGCUAGUUGGUGAGGUAACGGCUAACCAAGGCAACGAUGCGUAGCCGACCUGAGAGGGUGAUCGGCCACACUGGGACUGAGACACGGCCCAGACUCCUACGGGAGGCAGCAGUAGGGAAUCUUCCGCAAUGGACGAAAGUCUGACGGAGCAACGCCGCGUGAGUGAUGAAGGCUUUCGGGUCGUAAAACUCUGUUGUUAGGGAAGAACAAGUGCUAGUUGAAUAAGCUGACACCUUGACGGUACCUAACCAGAAAGCCACGGCUAACUACGUGCCAGCAGCCGCCGUAA